GAUGAACGCUGGCGGCGUGCCUAAUACAUGCAAGUCGAGCGAACAGACGAGGAGCUUGCUCCUCUGACGUUAGCGGCGGACGGGUGAGUAACACGUGGAUAACCUACCUAUAAGACUGGGAUAACUUCGGGAAACCGGAGCUAAACCGGUAAAUAUUUUUGAACCCAUGGUUUCAUUGUUAAAGACCGUUUUUCUGGUACCUAUUAGUGGAUCCGCGCCGCAUUAGCUAGUUGGUAAGGUAACGGCUUACCAAGGCAACGAUGCGUAGCCGACCUGAGAGGGUGAUCGGCCACACUGGAACUGAGACACGGUCCAGACUCCUACGGGAGGCAGCAGUAGGGAAUCUUCCGCAAUGGGCGAAAGCUUGACGGAGCAACGCCGCGUGAGUGAUGAAGGUCUUCGGAUCGUAAAACUCUGUUAUUAGGGAAGAACAAAUGUGUAAGUAACUAUGCACGUCUUGACGGUACCUAAUCAGAAAGCCACGGCUAACUACGUG
rnacentral:rRNA from 1 species